rnacentral:lncRNA from 1 species
AAAUAUUGCAAACAUAAAUACCGUAAACUAAUAUAGAGAAUUCACAAUCCAAGUUAACGAUAUGUCAAAAAACAAAUCCAAAUUAACGUUGUAAAAUAAGAUAACAUUUUUAUUCCUCAUUGACAUGUAUGCAUAUUUAUUAUACUUAUUUAAAUAAAUUGAUUAAAUUACAAUUAUUAAAAAAAAAAAUUGGCUCGCGGUACUCCACGGAUUAAAUUAUAGAAUUAACGAUUAAAAUACAAUUGUAAAUUAAUCUUAAAUACUAAAAUAAAUACAAUUUAAAUUUUAAAAAAAUAUACUAAAAUAAAUACAAUUUAAAUUAAAAGAAAACUUGGCUAUAAAAAUGUCUAUCAAAAUUGACAAUAAAAAGAGUUAUACAAUCUUAAAACAUUAAAAAAAAUAACCUUCGAGAAAAAGGAAAAUAUGUAACGAUUCCGAACAAAGAGAUAGACUUAUCAAAGAAUAAGGAAAUAGAAUAUAUCUCAGAAAAGUAAAACAUAUAUAGAAGCUGUGGCUAUAUAAGGAGGACG